GACGAACGCUGGCGGCGUGCUUAACACAUGCAAGUCGAACGGAAAGGCCCUGCUUUUGUGGGGUGCUCGAGUGGCGAACGGGUGAUUAACACGUUAGUAACCUGCCCUUGACUUUGGUAUAACUUCAGGCAACUGGGGCUAAUACCGGAUAGGAGCUCCUGCUGCAUGGUGGGGGUUGGAAAGUUUCGGCGGUUGGGGAUGGACUCGCGGCUUAUCAGCUUGUUGGUGGGGUAGUGGCUUACCAAGGCUUUGACGGGUAGCCGGCCUGGGAGGGUGACCGGCGAAAUUGGGACGGAGAUAAGGCCCAGACUCCAACGGGAGGCAGCAGUGGGGAAGAUUGCACAAUGGGGGGAAGGCUGAUGCAGCAAAGCCGCGUGGGGGAUGACGGCCUUCGGGUUGUAAACCGCAUUCGCCUGUGACGAAGCGUGAGUGACGGUAAUGGGUAAAGAAGCACCGGCUAACUACGUG
rnacentral:rRNA from 1 species